UCAGUAGUCCAGGCUCAAGCUCAGGCAAACACAGCCCACUGAAUAAAUAACAGGUCCCAUCUGCAGAAUAUUGGAAGAUUCUCUGGAGCGAGCUCUGGACGCAAACAACUUGGAGGAAGCUGUCAACACAGUGAAUGUCGUUCUGGAUCCAAACUCAGCACACCCCAAUCUCGUUCUCACUCCGGACC